UCGUCUUCGUAUGCGAGUGUUCGGGUGUCAAACCCCUACGCGUAAUGAAAGUGAACGUAGGUGAGAGGCUUCGGCGAUCAUCACCGACCGAUCCUGAUGUUCUCGGAUGGAUUUGAGUAAGAGCAUACGGGGCCGG
rnacentral:rRNA from 1 species